AGCCGAAUUAAGGUGAAACCGCGAAAGGCUCAUUAAAUCAGUUAUGGUUCCUUAGAUCGUACCCACAUUUACUUGGAUAACUGUGGUAAUUCUAGAGCUAAUACAUGCAAAUAGAGCUCCGACCGGAGACGGAAGGAGCGCUUUUAUUAGAUCAAAACCAAUCGGCGGCGGGUUCGCGCUCGUCGUCGUACCGACUGGUGAAUCUGAAUAACUUUGCUGAUCGCAUGGUCUCGCACCGGCGACGCAUCUUUCAAAUGUCUGCCUUAUCAACUGUCGAUGGUAGGUUCUGCGCCUACCAUGGUUGUAACGGGUAACGGGGAAUCAGGGUUCGAUUCCGGAGAGGGAGCCUGAGAAACGGCUACCACAUCCAAGGAAGGCAGCAGGCGCGCAAAUUACCCACUCCCGGCACGGGGAGGUAGUGACGAAAAAUAACGAUACGGGACUCAUCCGAGGCCCCGUAAUCGGAAUGAGUACAAUCUAAACCCUUUAACGAGGAUCAAUUGGAGGGCAAGUCUGGUGCCAGCAGCCGCGGUAAUUCCAGCUCCAAUAGCGUAUAUUAAAGUUGUUGCGGUUAAAAAGCUCGUAGUCGAAUCUGUGUCCCGCGCCGCCGGUUCAUCGCACGCGGUGUUUAACUGGCGUGUCCGCGGGACGUUCCUGCCGGUGGGCUCUGCCGUCGUUCGCGUCGGCGGCCCAACUCAAUCCCACCGCGGUGCUCUUUGCUGAGUGUCGAGGUGGGCCGGCACGUUUACUUUGAACAAAUUAGAGUGCUUAAAGCAGGCUAAAACUUCGCCUGAAUACCGUGUGCAUGGAAUAAUGGAAUAGGACCUCGGUUCUAUUUUGUUGGUUUUCGGAACCCCGAGGUAAUGAUUAAUAGGAACGGAUGGGGGCAUUCGUAUUGCGACGUUAGAGGUGAAAUUCUUGGAUCGUCGCAAGACGAACAGAAGCGAAAGCAUUUGCCAAAAACGUUUUCAUUGAUCAAGAACGAAAGUUAGAGGUUCGAAGGCGAUCAGAUACCGCCCUAGUUCUAACCAUAAACGAUGCCAGCUAGCGAUCCGCCGACGUUCCAUCGAUGACUCGGCGGGCAGCUUCCGGGAAACCAAAGCUUUUGGGUUCCGGGGGAAGUAUGGUUGCAAAGCUGAAACUUAAAGGAAUUGACGGAAGGGCACCACCAGGAGUGGAGCCUGCGGCUUAAUUUGACUCAACACGGGAAACCUCACCAGGCCCGGACACCGGAAGGAUUGACAGAUUGAGAGCUCUUUCUUGAUUCGGUGGGUGGUGGUGCAUGGCCGUUCUUAGUUGGUGGAGCGAUUUGUCUGGUUAAUUCCGAUAACGAACGAGACUCUAGCCUGCUAAAUAGGCGUAUUUCCGACAUCCCAAAGGCCCGCCGGUCCGGCGUUCGCGUCGCGGCCGCGCGCGGUUUUUACUGUCGGCGUACACACAAUUCUUCUUAGAGGGACAGGCGGCUUCUAGCCGCACGAGAUUGAGCAAUAACAGGUCUGUGAUGCCCUUAGAUGUUCUGGGCCGCACGCGCGCUACACUGAAGGAAUCAGCGUGUCCUCCCUGGCCGAGAGGCCCGGGUAACCCGCUGAACCUCCUUCGUGCUAGGGAUUGGGGCUUGCAAUUGUUCCCCAUGAACGAGGAAUUCCCAGUAAGCGCGAGUCAUAAGCUCGCGUUGAUUACGUCCCUGCCCUUUGUACACACCGCCCGUCGCUACUACCGAUUGAAUGAUUUAGUGAGGUCUUCGGACCGG
rnacentral:rRNA from 1 species